rnacentral:rRNA from 1 species
AAUCAACGCUGGCGGCGUGCCUAACACAUGCAAGUCGAACGCGAAAGUUCCUUCGGGGAUGAGUAGAGUGGCGUCCGGGUGAGUAACGCGUGGGUAAUCUGCCUUUGGGUGGGGAUAACGUCAGGGAACUUGGGCUAAUACCGCAUAAUGCAGCGGCUCGACAUCGAGACAGUUGUUAAAGCAGCAAUGCGCCUGAAGAGGAGCCUGCGUCUGAUUAGCAGUUGGUAAGGUAAUGGCUUACCAAGGCCACGAUCAGUAGCUGGUCUGAGAGGACGGCCAGCCAC